rnacentral:rRNA from 1 species
AUUGAACGCUGGCGGCAGGCCUAACACAUGCAAGUCGAACGGUAACAGGAAGAAGUUUGCUUCUUUGCUGACGAGUGGCGGAUGGGUGAGUAAUGUCUGGGAAACUGCCUGAUGGAGGGGGAUAACUACUGGAAACGGUAGCUAAUACCGCAUAACGUCGCAAGACCAAAAAGGGGGACCUUCGGGCCUCUUGCCAUCGGAUGUGCCCAGAUGGGAUUGGCUAGUAGGUGGGGUAACGGCUCACCUAGGCGACGAUCCCUAGCUGGUCUGAGAGGAUGACCAGCCACACUGGAACUGAGACACGGUCCAGACGCCUACGGGAGGCAGCAGUGGGGAAUAUUGCACAAUGGGCGCAAGCCUAAUGCAGCCAUGCCGCGUGUAUGAAGAAGGCCUUCGGGUUGUAAAGUACUUUCAGCGGGGAGGAAGGGAGUAAGGUUAAUACCUUUGCUCAUUGACGUUACCCGCAGAAGAAGCACCGGCUAACUCCGUG